GUCGUGAAGAACAGCACAUUAAUGCUCUGUCUCUUCAUGAUGUGUUGUUCGACUGCAGCAUCGGCUCGUCUAGCCCAAUCAAGUUCGUGAUUGAUUCAGGAGCAG